ACUCAAAGGAAUAGACGGGGGCCCGCACAAGCGGAGGAACAUGUGGUUUAAUUCGAUGAUACGCGAGGAACCUUACCCGGGAUUGAAAUGGAGGGGAAUGGUGUUGAAAGGCAUCAGUCAGCAAUGACCCCUUUGUAGGUGCUGCAUGGUUGUCGUCAGCUCGUGCCGUGAGGUGUCGGCUUAAGUGCCAUAACGAGCGCAACCCUGAUUGUCAGUUGCUAGCGGGUAAUGCCGAGGACUCUGACGAGACUGCCGGCGUAAGCUGUGAGGAAGGUUGGGAUGACGUCAAAUCAGCACGGCCCUUACAUCCGGGGCGACACACGUGUUACAAUGGUUGGGACAAAGGGCAGCUACCGGGCGACCGGAUGCUAAUCUCUAAACCCAAUCUCAGUUCGGAUCGGAGUCUGCAACUCGACUCCGUGAAGCCGGAUUCGCUAGUAAUCGCGCAUCAGCCAUGGCGCGGUGAAUACGUUCCCGGGCCUUGUACACACCGCCCGU
rnacentral:rRNA from 1 species